GACGAACGCUGGCGGCGGUCUUAACACAUGCAAGUCGAACGAAGUGGCGAACGGGUGAGUAACGCGUAAUCAACCUGCCCUUCAGAGGGGGACAACAGUUGGAAACGAAUGCUAAUACCGCAUACUGAAGGAGGGGAUUGCGUCGGAUUAGCUAGUAGGUAAGGUAACGGCUUACCUAGGCGAGGAUCCCUAGCUGGGAGGAGAGGAUGAUUAGCCACACGGGGACUGAGACACGGCCCAGACUCCUACGUGAGGCAGCAGUGGGGAAUAUUGGAAAAUGGGCGAAAGCCUGCUGCAGCCAUGCCGCGUGUAUGAAGAAGGCCCUAGGUUUGUAAAGUACUUUCAGUCGGGAGCGUUACCGACAGAAGAAGCACCGGCUAACUCCGUGCCAGCAGCCGCGGUAAUAC
rnacentral:rRNA from 1 species